rnacentral:lncRNA from 1 species
AGAGUGAGCAAAUGAGGCUAAAUUGCAUGUAUUCACCAGCAAACACAAAGUCAAGACAUAUAGUGAACAAUUUACUCACACCGGUAACUGUGUUUCCUUUUAGAGUUGACCACCAUGUGCCGAGAUGUUGCAUCACAACAAAUGAAAGUAAAGAAUACCCAACUUUCACAUUGUUUCGGCAUCUCAUUCAGAAACUCUAAUCAAAAUUCAUUUAAAGAAUAGCAA